GCGCUCCGUGCGGGGGGGGGGCAAACUGGGGGGGUUGUGGGGGGCAGGAUCCGAGGGGGGGGCGCCGUCCUUAAACAUGCUGUCGGAUUUGUGUGCGUCCCACUCUCUCCGCCAUUGCCCGGUGGGCUGCCGGUGCCGCGCCAGGCGCUCGCGGUCGAUCCGUUCCCGUUCCCGUUUCCAGCGCUCGUAUUCGGCGCGUUCCCGGCCCGUCAUGGACAGCGUCACGUCAGCCGCCUUCGGGCUGCGGCCCUUCUCGCGCUCCAUGCCCGCCCUCACGCCCUCAAAGUCGGGGCCCCCCAGUUGCGGCCGUGCCGUCGGCUGCCCUCCUCCUGCGCUGGGCCGCAGCGCCGGGGGUCAUCCAAGAAGUUCCUCACGGGGUUCCGCUCGUGGACACCGUCCCGCUGGUUGCGUUCGUACUCCGCGAUCUUCUCCAUCUCCUCAUUCAUCCGCUCAAUGUUCUGCCGCCGUCGCUCCUCCCAUUCCUGGUUCCGUCGAUCGACGCCGUCCCCCCCCGCCCCCGCAGCUCCGCUGCCCCCCCGACCGCGCGCCCUCCGCCCGCGCCCCCCCCGCCCCCCCCCUACAGCCAUAUGGACCCCGUCGCCACCCCCCAUAUUUUGGGUAGGGGGCGCUUCGGUCCUGGGGGGGCGCGUGGAGGUCCGGGGGGGUCUGGGGGUGGCAGUGGGGGGUUUCCGGGGGGCGCUGCGGGGGGGCUGCUCCGUAGCCCCAUAGCGGCGUUGGGGGUCCCGCGUCCGUCGUGGUGCCGUCACCGCCCCCCCCCGCAGCUCAGCGCGCCGCCGGUCCUCCUCGAUCUCCUGGUAGCGCCGCACCAGAGCCUCGUUCUUCUUGCGCAGCGCAGCGAUGCGCCGAUCCAACGCCGCGUCCUUCUGCUCCUUGGAGCCCACAUCCAACGCUGCUGCCAUAGUGGCGUUGCGCCGGACGCGGCCGUCGCUUUCCC
rnacentral:lncRNA from 1 species